rnacentral:rRNA from 1 species
GCAAGCGUUAUCCGGAAUUAUUGGGCGUAAAGCGCGCGCAGGCGGUUUCUUAAGUCUGAUGUGAAAGCCCACGGCUCAGCCGUGGAGGGUCAUUGGAAACUGGGGAACUUGAGUGCAGAAGAGAAAAGCGGAAUUCCACGUGUAGCGGUGAAAUGCGUAGAGAUGUGGAGGAACACCAGUGGCGAAGGCGGCUUUUUGGUCUGUAACUGACGCUGAGGCGCGAAAGCGUGGGGAGCAAACAGG